CUCUGGGUUAGUCGGGUCCUAAGCUGAGGCCGACAGGCGUAGGCGAUGGAUAACAGGUUGAUAUUCCUGUACCACCUAUAAUCGUUUUAAUCGAUGGGGGGACGCAGUAGAAUAGGCGAAGCGUGCGAUUGGAUUGCACGUCUAAGCAGUAAGGCUGAGUAUUAGGCAAAUCCGGUACUCGUUAAGGCUGAGCUGUGAUGGGGAGAAGACAUUGUGUCUUC
rnacentral:rRNA from 1 species